GGUACACUUAUAAAUACUGCUUACGUGAAUAGGUAUAGCAUUGUAAUAAAAUCCAAUGAUAAAACAGGCAAGAUUUGGGGUUUGGCCUCAGCUCUUGUGACCGUGGCUGGCCGAUGACGCCUACGUCCAGAAACUGCAAUACAUUUGCUUCAAGAUAAAGCUGUUGUGCAAUUAGCAAUGAUUCAAUACGGAGUUACGACCCCUGCAGCGCAAACGAUUGCACUCGAUGACUGUCGAUGGAUUAUUUCCUUUGUGAUCGCAAGCAUCGCGUGACUGUUUAUAAAACCAGUUAUUUCAUAAAAAGUGGAACAUUCAAAAAGAUUUUACAUGAUUUUUUUAUACUAAUAUGUUGGUUUCCGUACAUAUUCGAAUUCAAUGAAUCACUCAUCGAAUGUAGGAACCCUUCUUCUGAACUUCUUUUUCUCAGAGGGUGGCAUUCGUCAAGGCUCUACGUGUAUUUGAUGCUCAUAAUUAGGUGGAAAAUUAUCAACUCGUUUUACCUGUUUGUGUAACUUAUUCACGGUCCUUAGUGGCACUGUGCGAGCUGUGGUAACAUGUUCUUUAAAUCGCCCUCGGCCAGUCAGAAGACAGAAAGUUUGAACAAUCAGUCUUACUAGGGGUUUUGUCUUGACCAGGUCAAUGACUCAGUCGGGUCGGAUUAGCAACCAUAUAAAGAACUCUGGUACCCAGCUACAUCUGGAUGCCGACCCUGAGAUAGCUCAGAAAAGGCUUGGCAGAUAAUGAAUUUCAGCUGUCCCAAGUUAUAAGCUAUAACAACCAUACAUAGCAAUGUGUCCUUCAAAUAGCAACUAGUUUUGCGGAUAAUAUAGUAGGUAUACAGUUACAGUUGUACUUCCCCGGAUGUACCAACAAUUGAUUAACAAGGAAGGAACUCUAUUAAUAUCUAUUUAUUAUGUACUGAAGCAAUUCUCAUGUGCCCUCUGUAUGCGCCUCUGUCCUUUUUAUCAUCUUCUCAAGAACUAAUGUGUGAUUACUUUUUUGGUUUGUGCCCCGCUACC